rnacentral:rRNA from 1 species
UACGUAGGUGACCAGCGUUGUCCGGAUUUACUGGGCGUAAAGAGCUCGUAGGUGGUUUGUCGCGUUGUCCGUGAAAACUCACAACUCAAUUGUGGGCGUGCGGGCGAUACGGGCAGACUGGAGUACUGCAGGGGAGACUGGAAUUCCUGGUGUAGCGGUGGAAUGCGCAGAUAUCAGGAGGAACACCGGUGGCGAAGGCGGGUCUCUGGGCAGUAACUGACGCUGAGGAGCGAAAGCAUGGGGAGCGAACAGG